rnacentral:rRNA from 1 species
UACGUAGGUGGCAAGCGUUGUCCGGAUUUACUGGGCGUAAAGGGCGUGCAGGCGGUCUGUUAAGUGCAGGGUGAAAGCUCCCGGCUCAACUGGGAGAGGUCCUUGCAUACUGGCGGACUUGAGGGGGGUAGAGGAAAGUGGAAUUCCCGGUGUAGUGGUGAUAUGCGUAGAUAUCAGGAAGAACACCUAUGGCGAAGGCAGCUCUCUGGGACGGUACUGACGCUGAGACGCGAAAGCGUGGGGAGCGAACAGG